rnacentral:lncRNA from 1 species
GAGAAUUCGUCUUUUUCUGCUCAAUAUUAUGUCAGUGAAACCAAAUAAUGUGUUUCGGUUCCUCCCCCUGAGCAUUCCACCCGGGUAAACAAGGAACUAAGUCACCUCUGCUGAGAGAAGCUGUGCAUGGCGAGUGGCCCCCACACACCUGACUGGAUGACAUCUGAGGGCUCGGAGGUCCCUGCUGCUCAGUGUGCCAGGAUGGUCCCACCGUCCUGACAUUCACAUUUUUUAUGGAUGAUGCGUCAUUCUA